rnacentral:ncRNA from 2 species
CUCUUAUCAAGAGCUGGCGGAGGGAUAAGCCCUAUGAAGCCCGGCAACCGGUUUAUUUAAAUACGGUGCUAAUUCUUACAAUCUUUAUGAUUGAAAGAUGAGAG